rnacentral:rRNA from 1 species
AUUGAACGCUGGCGGCAUGCCUUACACAUGCAAGUCGAACGGCAGCACGGGAGCAAUCCUGGUGGCGAGUGGCGAACGGGUGAGUAAUAUAUCGGAACGUGCCCAGUAGUGGGGGAUAGCCCGGCGAAAGCCGGAUUAAUACCGCAUACGACCUGAGGGUGAAAGCGGGGGAUCGCAAGACCUCGCGCUAUUGGAGCGGCCGAUAUCAGAUUAGCUAGUUGGUGGGGUAAAGGCCUACCAAGGCUACGAUCUGUAGUUGGUCUGAGAGGACGACCAGCCACACUGGGACUGAGACACGGCCCAGACUCCUACGGGAGGCAGCAGUGGGGAAUUUUGGACAAUGGGCGCAAGCCUGAUCCAGCAAUGCCGCGUGCAGGAAGAAGGCCUUCGGGUUGUAAACUGCUUUUGUCAGGGAAGAAAUCUUCUGGGCUAAUACCCCGGGAGGAUGACGGUACCUGAAGAAUAAGCACCGGCUAACUACGUGCCAGCAGCCGCGGUAAUACGUAGGGUGCGAGCGUUAAUCGGAAUUACUGGGCGUAAAGCGUGCGCAGGCGGCUUUGCAAGACAGAUGUGAAAUCCCCGGGCUCAACCUGGGAACUGCAUUUGUGACUGCAAGGCUAGAGUACGGCAGAGGGGGAUGGAAUUCCGCGUGUAGCAGUGAAAUGCGUAGAUAUGCGGAGGAACACCGAUGGCGAAAGCAAUCCCCUGGGCCUGUACUGACGCUCAUGCACGAAAGCGUGGGGAGCAAACA